rnacentral:rRNA from 1 species
CCUACGGGGGGCAGCAGUGGGGAAUAUUGCACAAUGGGCGCAAGCCUGAUGCAGCCAUGCCGCGUGUGUGAGGAAGGCCUUCGGGUUGUAAAGCACUUUCAGCGGGGAGGAAGGCGGUGAGGUUAAUAACCUCAUCGAUUGACGUUACCCGCAGAAGAAGCACCGGCUAACUCCGUGCCAGCAGCCGCGGUAAUACGGAGGGUGCAAGCGUUAAUCGGAAUUACUGGGCGUAAAGCGCACGCAGGCGGUCUGUCAAGUCGGAUGUGAAAUCCCCGGGCUCAACCUGGGAACUGCAUUCGAAACUGGUAGGCUAGAGUCUUGUAGAGGGGGGUAGAAUUCCAGGUGUAGCGGUGAAAUGCGUAGAGAUCUGGAGGAAUACCGGUGGCGAAGGCGGCCCCCUGGACAAAGACUGACGCUCAGGUGCGAAAGCGUGGGGAGCAAACAGGAUUAGAUACCCUUGUAGUC